UACAGAGGUCCCAAGCGUUGUUCGGAUUCACUGGGCGUAAAGGGUGCGUAGGUGGUGAGGUAAGUCGGAUGAGAAAGCUCCGAGCUCAACUCGGAAAUGGCAUUGGAAACUACCUUGCUCGAGGGUUUGAGGGGGGACUGGAAUACUUGGUGUAGCAGUGAAAUGCGUAGAUAUCAAGUAGAACACCAGUGGCGAAGGCGAGUCCCUGGAAAAUACCUGACACUGAGGCACGAAAGCUAGGGGGAGCAAACAGG
rnacentral:rRNA from 1 species